GUCUACGGCCAUGCCACCCUGAAAAAGCCAGAUCCCGUCUGAUGUCGGAAGCUAAGUAAGGUCGGGCCUGGUUAGUACUUGGAUGGGAGACCACCUAGGAAGACCAGGUGCUAUAGGCA
rnacentral:rRNA from 1 species